rnacentral:rRNA from 1 species
GACGAACGCUGGCGGCGUGCUUAACACAUGCAAGUCGAACGGAAAGGCCCUGCUUUUGUGGGGUGCUCGAGUGGCGAACGGGUGAGUAACACGUGAGUAACCUGCCCUUGACUUUGGGAUAACUUCAGGAAACUGGGGCUAAUACCGGAUAGGAGCUCCUGCUGCAUGGUGGGGGUUGGAAAGUUUCGGCGGUUGGGGAUGGACUCGCGGCUUAUCAGCUUGUUGGUGGGGUAGUGGCUUACCAAGGCUUUGACGGGUAGCCGGCCUGAGAGGGUGACCGGCGACAUUGGGACUGAGAUACGGCGCAGACUCCUACGGGAGGCAGCAGUGGGGAAUCUUGCACAAUGGGGGGAAGUCUGAUGCAGCGACGCCGCGUGCGGGAUGACGGCCUUCGGGUUGUAAACAGCUUUCGCCUGUGACGAAGCGUGAGUGACGGUACUGGGUAAAGAAGCACCGGCUAACUACGUG